UUAAGCGACUAAGCGUACACGGUGGAUGCCCUGGCAGUCAGAGGCGAUGAAGGACGUGCUAAUCUGCGAUAAGCGUCGGUAAGGUGAUAUGAACCGUUAUAACCGGCGAUUUCCGAAUGGGGAAACCCAGUGUGUUUCGACACACUAUCAUUAACUGAAUCCAUAGGUUAAUGAGGCGAACCGGGGGAACUGAAACAUCUAAGUACCCCGAGGAAAAGAAAUCAACCGAGAUUCCCCCAGUAGCGGCGAGCGAACGGGGAGCAGCCCAGAGCCUGAAUCAGUGUGUGUGUUAGUGGAAGCGUCUGGAAAGGCGCGCGAUACAGGGUGACAGCCCCGUACACAAAAAUGCACAUGCUGUGAGCUCGAUGAGUAGGGCGGGACACGUGGUAUCCUGUCUGAAUAUGGGGGGACCAUCCUCCAAGGCUAAAUACUCCUGACUGACCGAUAGUGAACCAGUACCGUGAGGGAAAGGCGAAAAGAACCCCGGCGAGGGGAGUGAAAAAGAACCUGAAACCGUGUACGUACAAGCAGUGGGAGCACGCUUAGGCGUGUGACUGCGUACCUUUUGUAUAAUGGGUCAGCGACUUAUAUUCUGUAGCAAGGUUAACCGAAUAGGGGAGCCGAAGGGAAACCGAGUCUUAACUGGGCGUUAAGUUGCAGGGUAUAGACCCGAAACCCGGUGAUCUAGCCAUGGGCAGGUUGAAGGUUGGGUAACACUAACUGGAGGACCGAACCGACUAAUGUUGAAAAAUUAGCGGAUGACUUGUGGCUGGGGGUGAAAGGCCAAUCAAACCGGGAGAUAGCUGGUUCUCCCCGAAAGCUAUUUAGGUAGCGCCUCGUGAAUUCAUCUCCGGGGGUAGAGCACUGUUUCGGCAAGGGGGUCAUCCCGACUUACCAACCCGAUGCAAACUGCGAAUACCGGAGAAUGUUAUCACGGGAGACACACGGCGGGUGCUAACGUCCGUCGUGAAGAGGGAAACAACCCAGACCGCCAGCUAAGGUCCCAAAGUCAUGGUUAAGUGGGAAACGAUGUGGGAAGGCCCAGACAGCCAGGAUGUUGGCUUAGAAGCAGCCAUCAUUUAAAGAAAGCGUAAUAGCUCACUGGUCGAGUCGGCCUGCGCGGAAGAUGUAACGGGGCUAAACCAUGCACCGAAGCUGCGGCAGCGACACUAUGUGUUGUUGGGUAGGGGAGCGUUCUGUAAGCCUGCGAAGGUGUGCUGUGAGGCAUGCUGGAGGUAUCAGAAGUGCGAAUGCUGACAUAAGUAACGAUAAAGCGGGUGAAAAGCCCGCUCGCCGGAAGACCAAGGGUUCCUGUCCAACGUUAAUCGGGGCAGGGUGAGUCGACCCCUAAGGCGAGGCCGAAAGGCGUAGUCGAUGGGAAACAGGUUAAUAUUCCUGUACUUGGUGUUACUGCGAAGGGGGGACGGAGAAGGCUAUGUUGGCCGGGCGACGGUUGUCCCGGUUUAAGCGUGUAGGCUGGUUUUCCAGGCAAAUCCGGAAAAUCAAGGCUGAGGCGUGAUGACGAGGCACUACGGUGCUGAAGCAACAAAUGCCCUGCUUCCAGGAAAAGCCUCUAAGCAUCAGGUAACAUCAAAUCGUACCCCAAACCGACACAGGUGGUCAGGUAGAGAAUACCAAGGCGCUUGAGAGAACUCGGGUGAAGGAACUAGGCAAAAUGGUGCCGUAACUUCGGGAGAAGGCACGCUGAUAUGUAGGUGAAGUCCCUCGCGGAUGGAGCUGAAAUCAGUCGAAGAUACCAGCUGGCUGCAACUGUUUAUUAAAAACACAGCACUGUGCAAACACGAAAGUGGACGUAUACGGUGUGACGCCUGCCCGGUGCCGGAAGGUUAAUUGAUGGGGUCAGCGCAAGCGAAGCUCUUGAUCGAAGCCCCGGUAAACGGCGGCCGUAACUAUAACGGUCCUAAGGUAGCGAAAUUCCUUGUCGGGUAAGUUCCGACCUGCACGAAUGGCGUAAUGAUGGCCAGGCUGUCUCCACCCGAGACUCAGUGAAAUUGAACUCGCUGUGAAGAUGCAGUGUACCCGCGGCAAGACGGAAAGACCCCGUGAACCUUUACUAUAGCUUGACACUGAACAUUGAGCCUUGAUGUGUAGGAUAGGUGGGAGGCUUUGAAGUGUGGACGCCAGUCUGCAUGGAGCCGACCUUGAAAUACCACCCUUUAAUGUUUGAUGUUCUAACGUGGACCCGUAAUCCGGGUUGCGGACAGUGUCUGGUGGGUAGUUUGACUGGGGCGGUCUCCUCCUAAAGAGUAACGGAGGAGCACGAAGGUUGGCUAAUCCUGGUCGGACAUCAGGAGGUUAGUGCAAUGGCAUAAGCCAGCUUGACUGCGAGCGUGACGGCGCGAGCAGGUGCGAAAGCAGGUCAUAGUGAUCCGGUGGUUCUGAAUGGAAGGGCCAUCGCUCAACGGAUAAAAGGUACUCCGGGGAUAACAGGCUGAUACCGCCCAAGAGUUCAUAUCGACGGCGGUGUUUGGCACCUCGAUGUCGGCUCAUCACAUCCUGGGGCUGAAGUAGGUCCCAAGGGUAUGGCUGUUCGCCAUUUAAAGUGGUACGCGAGCUGGGUUUAGAACGUCGUGAGACAGUUCGGUCCCUAUCUGCCGUGGGCGCUGGAGAACUGAGGGGGGCUGCUCCUAGUACGAGAGGACCGGAGUGGACGCAUCACUGGUGUUCGGGUUGUCAUGCCAAUGGCACUGCCCGGUAGCUAAAUGCGGAAGAGAUAAGUGCUGAAAGCAUCUAAGCACGAAACUUGCCCCGAGAUGAGUUCUCCCUGACUCCUUGAGAGUCCUGAAGGAACGUUGAAGACGACGACGUUGAUAGGCCGGGUGUGUAAGCGCAGCGAUGCGUUGAGCUAACCGGUACUAAUGAACCGUGAGGCUUAACCU
rnacentral:rRNA from 1 species